CUUCUUUCCCACAUACUUUGCCUACUCAAACGCUCCAGGAGGCUGAGAGGAGAAAAAGAACAAGAAAAAAAGAACGACUGAAAGGUUCUGUCAGAAGCAAACAAAGACAACUGGCCAAAAAUGUAGAAAACAAAUGAUCACCGGGUGCCCAAACAUAGUGGCUACAUCUCCAACAUUAUCCCUGUGCCUGAAGUUCAGAGAGCAUCAAAGAAAAUGGGUGGAAAGAUUAUAAGAACCAGAGGACCAGAAAAUCUACUGUGAGACUGUACCUCCUAGAAAUGACAGGAAAGCUAGAUACUUCAACAAUAUGGACAUCUCCUCCUCUCCAACCAAUAGGUAAAGUAUGGAAUAGAAGGGACUGUCUCUCCUCAGCAUAAACAGAGAAGAAUUGAAGGAUCACUCUUCUGCUUCCCAAAAAUGAUGUCUGUGAACAAUCUCUUGGGGGGGGGAGGGAGAUUUGCUGGUAGAGGAGAGCAGGGGACAGAGAGGGCUACAUGAAUAUUUACAUAUAAGAGAAGCCAGUUGGCAGAAAAAGAC
rnacentral:lncRNA from 1 species